AACGAACGCUGGCGGCAUGCCUAACACAUGCAAGUCGAACGAGACCUUCGGGUCUAGUGGCGCACGGGUGCGUAACGCGUGGGAACCUGCCCUUAGGUUCGGAAUAACUCCCCGAAAGGGGUGCUAAUACCGGAUAAUGUCUUCGGACCAAAGAUUUAUCGCCUUUGGAUGGGCCCGCGUUGGAUUAGCUAGUUGGUAGGGUAAAAGCCUACUAAGGCGACGAUCCAUAGCUGGUCUGAGAGGAUGAUCAGCCACACUGGGACUGAGACACGGCCCAGACUCCUACGGGAGGCAGCAGUGGGGAAUAUUGGACAAUGGGCGAAAGCCUGAUCCAGCAAUGCCGCGGGAGUGAUGAAGGCCGUAGGGUUGUAAAGCUCUUUGACCCGGGAUGAUAAUGACAGUACCGGGAGAAUAAGCUCCGGCUAACUCC
rnacentral:rRNA from 1 species